rnacentral:rRNA from 1 species
UACGGAGGAUGCGAGCGUUAUCCGGAUUUAUUGGGUUUAAAGGGUGCGCAGGCGGCACGGCAAGCCGGCGGUCAAAUCGCGGGGCUCAACCCCGCCCAGCCGUCGGAACUGCCGGGCUAGAGUGGGCGAGAAGUGCGCGGAAUGCGUGGUGUAGCGGUGAAAUGCAUAGAUAUCACGCAGAACUCCGAUUGCGAAGGCAGCGCACCGGCGCCCGACUGACGCUCAGGCACGAAAGCGUGG